CGAACGUGAUUAGAGAGCUUGCUCUCUAUGAAAGUGGCGCACGGGUGAGUAACGCGUAGAUAAUCUACCUGAUGAUUCGGGAUAACACUUCGAAAGGGGUGCUAAUACCGGAUAAGCCCACGGAGUCCUUGGACUCUGCGGGAAAAGGGGGGGACCAUUUGGCCUUCCGUCAUCAGAUGAGUCUGCGUACCAUUAGCUAGUUGGUAGGGUAAAGGCCUACCAAGGCGACGAUGGUUAGCUGGUCUGAGAGGAUGAUCAGCCACACUGGAACUGAGACACGGUCCAGACUCCUACGGGAGGCAGCAGUGGGGAAUUUUGCGCAAUGGGGGAAACCCUGACGCAGCAACGCCGCGUGAGUGAUGAAGGCCCUUGGGUCGUAAAGCUCUGACAGAGGGAAAGAAAUGCAGGGGAGCUAAUAUCUCCCUUGCUUGACGGUACCCUCAAAGGAAGCACCGGCUAACUCCGUGCCAGCAGCCGCGGUAAUACGGGGGGUGCAAGCGUUGUUCGGAUUUAUUGGGCGUAAAGCGCGUGUAGGCGGUUUUAUAAGUCUGAUGUGAAAGCCCUGGGCUCAACCCGGGAAGUGCAUUGGAUACUGUAAGACUUGAAUACGGGAGAGGGCAGUGGAAUUCCUAGUGUAGGAGUGAAAUCCGUAGAUAUUAGGAGGAACACCGGUGGCGAANGCGGCUGCCUGGACCGAUAUUGACGCUGAGACGCGAAAGCGUGGGUAGCAAACAGGAUUANAUACCCUGGNUAGUCACGCCGUAAACNAUGAGAACUAGGNGNUGCGGGUAUUGACCCCUGCAGNGCCGUAGCUACGCAUNANUUCUCCCCU
rnacentral:rRNA from 1 species